UUAUUUCAGUUUCUUCAACAGCCAUUAAGGCUUGCUAUUGUAAAGUUUACUCUCAUGUGAAAAACUCUUACAGAAUACAAAGAACAUCAUGCCCACGCCAAAGGGCUGUAUCAAAAGAUAGUUUCUUAACAAUCACGUAUCACUGGUGGUGAUGGUUGUAGUGGAGAAGUCAACUUUACUUACACAAACAGGUCACUUAUCUAUGGUUGAUUAUAUUACAUACAGUGCUCUAGGAUUGUUCACACUCAUUUUCUCUGACAGUCUCUACCCACAAAAGUGGCACCAAACUUGAAACUGAAGAGAAAGCAAACAAGUGUGUACCAAGAAACAGAAGGCUUGAUGAAGUGUUGGGAUACUGCUGUCAUACUUCUUCAACAAAUUCCCAAUGAAAAUAAGGAAAGCAGGUAGGCAGAGAACUUUAUGGUCACACUUUAGCCUUCUUUUUUUAAAUUAACUUCUUUAAUCUGGUCAAUUUGUAAUUGAAAGGUAGAUUCCCUUUAGAGGACUGGCAGGUAUCCUUACAGUCUUUAAUUGACACAUUUAGCCAUGACUUGAACGUUUAUCAUCCUUACUUGUACAUAGUUUAGUUCGAAUUUCUGUAGUAAUGCCAACUGGGGAAAGAUUUUUAUUUAUAUUGUGCUGGUUCAACACAUACUAUGAAAGUUGACCACAAAUAAGUUUAAAUAUAUCACCAAGACAUUGUAAGCACUGUACAUAUCCACAGCCACUUUAUAACUUUUUAACCCCAAGUUUUCUGACAUUUUUAUGCAGUUUUAAGUUAUACUCCAACUCUUACGAUAA